rnacentral:rRNA from 1 species
GCAUAUCAUAGCGGAGGAAAAGAAACCAACAGGGAUUGCCCCAGUAACGGCGAGUGAAGCGGCAACAGCUCAAAUUUGAAAUCUGGCCCCCAGGGCCCGAGUUGUAAUUUGUAGAGGAUGCUUUUGGCGAGGCGCCUUCCGAGUUCCCUGGAACGGGACGCCAUAGAGGGUGAGAGCCCCGUCUGGUCGGACGCCUAGCCUCUGUAAAGCUCCUUCGACGAGUCGAGUAGUUUGGGAAUGCUGCUCUAAAUGGGAGGUAUAUGUCUUCUAAAGCUAAAUACCGGCCAGAGACCGAUAGCGCACAAGUAGAGUGAUCGAAAGAUGAAAAGCACUUUGAAAAGAGGGUUAAACAGUACGUGAAAUUGUUGAAAGGGAAGCGCUUGUGACCAGACUUGGGCCCGGUUGAUCAUCCAGCGUUCUCGCUGGUGCACUCUGCCGGCCCAGGCCAGCAUCAGUUCGCGCCGGGGGAUAAAGGCUUCGGGAACGUGGCUCCCUCGGGAGUGUUAUAGCCCGCUGCGUAAUACCCUGGUGCGGACUGAGGCCCGCGCUCCGCAAGGAUGCUGGCGUAAUGGUCAUCAGCGACCCGUCUUGAAACACGGACCAAGGAGUCGUCUUCGUAUGCGAGUGUUCGGGUGUCAAACCCCUACGCGUAAUGAAAGUGAACGCAGGUGAGAGCUUCGGCGCAUCAUCGACCGAUCCUGAUGUUCUCGGAUGGAUUUGAGUAAGAGCAUACGGGGCCGGACCCGAAAGAAGGUGAACUAUGCCUGUAUAGGGUGAAGCCAGAGGAAACUCUGGUGGAGGCUCGCAGCGGUUCUGACGUGCAAAUCGAUCGUCAAAUAUGGGCAUGGGGCGAAAGACUAAUCGAACCUUCUAGUAGCUGGGUUUCCGCCGA